GAUGAACGCUGGCGGCGUGCCUAAUACAUGCAAGUCGAGCGAACGGACGAGACGCUUGCUUCUCUGAUGUUAGCGGCGGACGGGUAAGUAACACGUGUAUCACCUACCUAUAAGACUGGGAUCACUUCGGGAAACCAGAGCUAAUACCGGAUAAUAUUUUGAACCGCAUGGUUCAAAAGUGAAAGACGGUCUUGCUGUCACUUAUAGAUGGAUCCGCGCUGCAUUAGCUAGUUGGUAAGGUAACGGCUUACCAAGGCAACGAUGCAUGGCCGACCUGAGAGGGUGAUCGGCCACACUGGAACGGAGACACGGUCCAGACUCCUACGGGAGGCAGCAGUAGGGAAUCUUCCGCAAUGGGCGAAAGCAUGACGGAGCAACGCCGCGUGAGUGAUGAAGGUCUUCGGAUCGUAAAACUCUGUUAUUAGGGAAGAACAGAUGUGUAAGGAACUGUGCACAUCGUGACGGUACCUAAUCAGAAAGCCACGGCUAACUACGUG
rnacentral:rRNA from 1 species